UAUUUUUUUUUAUUAUUUUGUGUGUGUUUGGUCCUGCUUGAGCACUGGGGUCCCAGCAGCAUGACGUGUGGUUGCAUGUAAUUUUGUAAUGUGUGUUAAAUUUGUAAACAUAUAUAUUUUUUUCUUUUUACAACAGAGAUGUCCAGGGAUAAGCGGUCCCGAUCCCCCCCCCUUCCCCCCACCCCUCAGAAGAUCUUUCCCUGCAUAGCAACGAGGAGUGGGAGCCGGAGCCGACCCAGGAGGAGGAUACGACCGACCAGGCAUGCAGUGACCAGCCGCGGUCGUCAAGGGACCAAAUGGAGAAGUCAAAGAAAAAGAAAAAGCCUAGACAGGCAAGAGGCCAGCCAGAGGAGCAGUCGGAGGAGGAAGCCUCUGGUGAAGAUGCAGGACCGAAGAAGCCGCGUGGACCCAGAUACACUGAGGCGGAAAACUGUGCCCUAGUGGAUGGCGUCGACAGGUCCUACAAUGUUCUGUAUGGAUCAAGGGCACAGACCACAGCAGCUAAGACCAAGCGAAACAUCUGGGAAGCCAUCGCGAGACAAGUCACUGCAGUAUCUUGAAACCGCCGGAGCACCAGAAACUGCAUGAAGCGGUACAGUGAUUGCCGCAGACAGACCAAAAAGAAGAUGGGGAUUCAGCGCCGACAUGAGACAGCUACGGGAGGUGGUCCGGCUCUCAAUCUGAAGUGGCUACCCUGGGAGAACGUUAUCAAAAGGCGCAUGAACCCUGCCAUGGUCGAAGGAGUUCGCGGAGGUGUGGACUCUAGCCGUCCUGCUGGCUUUCCCGAGGAGGAAGAACCGCCCAGAAGAGGAAGACGGCGGGAGACAAGCAGUCCAAAAGGAGGCGUGAUGACACGCCUGCCCAGAGGACAUCACCUGCACGCAGGACAUCGCCAGCGCGCGGACCAUCACCUGCGCAGCAGGCAUCGGCAGCAGCGCGCGGAGCAUCACCUGUGCAGCAAGCAUCGGGAGCGCGAAGAUCAUCACCUGUGCGCCACACAUAGUCAUCGCGUAGUAAGUCACCUGCGCGCCAGACGACGUCAGCACGCAGACCAUAACCUGCGCGCCAGACAUCAGCGCACAGAACGUCACCUGUGCGCCAGACACCGUCGGCGACCACACCACCAGAUGGGCGCCAAACAACAGCUCCUGCGCGCAGGCCAUCACCAGAUCGUCAUCUCUCCAGGAGCUCUGGAACUGUGACCGAAGAGCCUCAACAAGACACUACCCUUGUGGACCCAUCACCCGAACUGUUUGAGUCUACAGGGUUAACGGACGAGACUUUUCUUGGGUUUGAAGACAGCCGUGCAGACGUAUCCAGCCAGACCCUAGAAAAGUCUCCAGAAUUGAGGACAAGUGAAGCUCCUGGAGCAGCGGCACCACAGGAUG